GCACUGCUGACGAGUCCCAAACAGGACAAAACGGGUUGUCCAGUGC
rnacentral:hammerhead_ribozyme from 1 species